rnacentral:rRNA from 1 species
GCUUAACACAUGCAAGUCGAACGGCAGCGCGAAGGAAGCUUGCUUUCUUUGGCGGCGAGUGGCGAACGGGUGAGUAAUGUAUCGGAACGUGCCCAGUAGCGGGGGAUAACUGGCCGAAAGGUCAGCUAAUACCGCAUACGCCCUACGGGGGAAAGGGGGGGAUCGCAAGACCUCUCACUAUUGGAGCGGCCGAUAUCGGAUUAGCUAGUUGGUGGGGUAAAGGCCUACCAAGGCGACGAUCCGUAGCUGGUUUGAGAGGACGACCAGCCACACUGGGACUGAGACACGGCCCAGACUCCUACGGGAGGCAGCAGUGGGGAAUUUUGGACAAUGGGGGAAACCCUGAUCCAGCCAUCCCGCGUGUGCGAUGAAGGCCUUCGGGUUGUAAAGCACUUUUGGCAGGGAAGAAACGGCCUGGGAUAAUACCCUGGGCAACUGACGGUACCUGCAGAAUAAGCACCGGCUAACUACGUGCCAGCAGCCGCGGUAAUAC